rnacentral:rRNA from 1 species
GACGAACGCUGGCGGCGCGCCUAACACAUGCAAGUCGAACGGGAUUUUUAGGAGCUUGCUCCUGGCAAUCUAGUGGCGGACGGGUGAGUAACACGUGAGCAACCUGCCUUUCAGAGGGGGAUAACGUUCGGAAACGAACGCUAAUACCGCAUAACAUGCCGGAGGGGCAUCCCUUUGGUAUCAAAGGAGCAAUCCGCUGAAAGAUGGGCUCGCACCCGAUUAGAUAGUUGGCGGGGUAACGGCCCACCAAGUCUGUGAUCGGUAGCCGGACUGAGAGGUUGAUCGGCCACAUUGGGACUGAGACACGGCCAGACUCCUACGGGAGGCAGCAGUGGGGAAUAUUGGACAAUGGGCGAAAGCCUGAUCCAGCCAUGCCGCAUGAGUGAAGAAGGCCUUUGGGUUGUAAAGCUCUUUUAGUGAGGAAGAUAAUGACGGUACCCACAGAAGAAGUCCUGGCUAACUCCGUGCCAGCAGCCGCGGUAACA